GUUCCGUCAUUGUGCCGGAUGUUAGAUACCAUCGAGUCCGAGCAAAUUUUGCCGGUGUGGUUUAGACGGCUAUCGAUACGGCAGAUACCAAAGAAUGAAGGUUUCCAAUUGCUAUGAGAAACGAUUGUUUUGAAUAUUGUGUACUGCAUAUUUUUGUUUGAGUGUCUGAUUGUCAUAAAAAUAAAAUAAAUGAUGUACGUGAUAUUUAAAUAUAGAGUUAAAAGAAGCGAUAUAUAACUGACCAAAUCUAGAACGACGUUUUACAGUAGCG
rnacentral:lncRNA from 1 species